AACAGGAUUAGAUACCCUGGUAGUCCACGCCGUAAACGAUGCUAACUCGUUUUUGGGGUUUCGGCUUCAGAGACUAAGCGAAAGUGAUAAGUUAGCCACCUGGGGAGUACGUUCGCAAGAAUGAAACUCAAAGGAAUUGACGGGGGCCCGCACAAGCGGUGGAUUAUGUGGUUUAAUUCGAUGAUACGCGAGGAACCUUACCAAGACUUAAAUGGGAAAUGACAGAUUUAGAAAUAGAUCCUUCUUCGGACAUUUUUCAAGGUGCUGCAUGGUUGUCGUCAGCUCGUGCCGUGAGGUGUUAGGUUAAGUCCUGCAACGAGCGCAACCCCUGUCACUAGUUGCUAGCAUUAAGUUGAGGACUCUAGUGAGACUGCCUACGCAAGUAGAGAGGAAGGUGGGGAUGACGUCAAAUCAUCACGGCCCUUACGUCUUGGGCCACACACGUAAUACAAUGGCCGGUACAGAGGGCAGCUACACAGCGAUGUGAUGCAAAUCUCGAAAGCCGGUCUCAGUUCGGAUUGGAGUCCGCAACUCGACUCUAUGAAGCUGGAAUCGCUAGUAAUCGCGCAUCAGCCAUGGCGCGGUGAAUACGUUCCCGGGCCUUGUACACACCGCCCGUCAAGCCAUGGAAGUCUGGGGUACCUGAAGUCGGUGACCGUAAAAGGAGCUGCCUAGGGUAAAACAGGUAACUAGGGCUAAGUCGUAACAAGGUAACC
rnacentral:rRNA from 1 species